UACGAAGGGGGCUAGCGUUGUUCGGAUUUACUGGGCGUAAAGCGCACGUAGGCGGAUCGUUAAGUCGGGGGUGAAAUCCUGGAGCUCAACUCCAGAACUGCCUUCGAUACUGGCGAUCUUGAGUCCGGAAGAGGUGAGUGGAACUCCGUAGUGUAGAGGUGGAAUUCGUAGAUAUUAGGAAGAAUACCAGUGGCGAAGGCGGCUUAA
rnacentral:rRNA from 1 species